rnacentral:rRNA from 1 species
UAACGCGAAGAACCUUACCUGGGCUAGAAUGCCUCUGACAGCCCCAGAGAUGGGGCCUCUUGGGUAAAACCAAACAGAGUGCAAGGUGCUGCAUGGCUGUCGUCAGCUCGUGUCGUGAGAUGUUGGGUUAAGUCCCGCAACGAGCGCAACCCUUGUCUUCUGUUGCCAUCAGGUUAAGCUGGGCACUCUAGUGAGACUGCCGGUGACAAACCGGAGGAAGGUGGGGAUGACGUCAAGUCCUCAUGGCCCUUAUGGGUAGGGCUUCACACGUCAUACAAUGGCGCAUACAGAGGGUUGCCAACCCGCGAGGGGGAGCCAAUCCCAGAAAGUGCGUCGUAGUCCGGAUUGUUCUCUGCAACUCGAGAGCAUGAAGUCGGAAUCGCUAGUAAUCGCGGAUCAGCAUGUCGCGGUGAAUACGUUCCCGGGUCUUGUACACACGCA